GAAGCGUCGUUCGGACCGC
rnacentral:snRNA from 1 species